CAUCCGCUCUUUUAAUGUGUUUAAUCGAGAUACUUCAUUGUGAGAGUUUUGAAUGCAAAUUCAAAACUCUCACUAACGUACUCCAAAAGGCUUUGACAGAUUUGUGUCCAAAAGGCUUGGACAGGAAAGAGUCCAAAAGGCUUGGACAGAUUUGUGUCCAAAAGGCUUGGACAGAGAGGGUCCAAAGUACUUAAGGAGGUUUAAAUCUUGAACUGUAAUUUUAAGAUUUAUGGAUAAUCGAACGAAGUAAUAUUAAAAGUAGAUCUUUUAAACAGAAAGUUUAAGAGGUGUACAUAAAUUAAUAAGCUUUUGAUAAAAAGCUUAUAAAGAUUAGACAUAUUAAGAGAGCGGAUG
rnacentral:rRNA from 1 species